rnacentral:lncRNA from 1 species
UCUUGCCUUUUUGUAAUUUUGAUUAUGCGAAAUAGCAAUACUUUAACAUCUUACACAAGUUAUGAAAAUAUUCAAUGUCAAUGAUUCAUGACUGAGUUACAUGGCUAAACAAUCUCCAUGUGAAUGAGAUGUGGCCAAUGCUUAUACAACUGCAUACCAAAUACCAUCAUGAUCAUUGACUUAUCAUAAGUUGUUCCCAAAUCUAAAUACAAACAUUAACUAGUAAACUAUAGAAAAGUUUCAAAGUCAAUAAGAGGGGGUGGGGCUAUAUAAUAAUUUCCAUGGAAACAAUACUUGCAAAUGUAAAUAAAUUUGCAUACCAAAUAUCAUUGACUUAACAUUAGCAGUUCAUCUUAAACUGAUCUAAUCACAAACUAAUACAUGUAAACUAAGAUAAGUUUCAAAGUCAUUAGACUGUAACUGAAGGGGGAGGACAAAUAUUCUCCAUGGAAAUGAGAUGUGCCAAUGCUUAUACAACUGAAUACCAAUUAACAUUGGCCUACCACUAAUGGUUCCCCUUGAAUUGACCUAAUCACAAAGUAAUACAUGAUAACUCGGAAAAUUUUUCAAAGUCAAUAGACCAUGACUAAGGGGGCGGAGCCAAAUUAUCUCCAUGGAAAUGAGAUAUGCAGAUACUUACACAACUACAUACCAAAUAUCAUUGAUCUACCACUUGUGGUUCCCAAUAAACUGACCUAAUCACAAACUAAUACAUGAUAAAUAAGCAAAAGUUUCAAAAUCAAUAGACCAUGACUAAGGGGGCAGAGCUAAAUUAUCUCCAUGGAAAUCAGGUAUGCCGAUGCUUACACAACUGCAUACCAAAUAUCAUUGACCUACCACUUGUGGUUCCCCAUAAACUGACCUAAUCAAUAAAUAUUACAUGUAAUAUAAGCAAAAGUUUAGAAGUCAAUAGACCAUGACUGAGGGGGCAGGGCCAUAUAAUCUCCAUGGAAAGGAGAUGUGCCAAUGCUUAUACAACUGCAUACCAAAUAUGAUUGACCUACCACUUGUGGUUCACCAUAAACUAGACUUCAUCACAAACUAAUACAUUGUUGACGCCGCCGUCGCCGCCACAGGAAACAGCAUACCUAUGUCUUGCUUUUUGACUCUGUCAAGGCGAGACAAAAACCUUAAAUUGACAUCUACCAAGAUGUACCUGCCUGCAUCUAAUGCAAAUUUUUAAAAGCAUCAAUAAAAACACUUUAUAGCUUCCAUAGCUGACCAUAGGGUAUGAGUUCUGUUCGUUGUACAUAUUAAAGGUUGCUUACAUCCAUGAUGUGUGGACCAUAAUAGAAAGUUGUCUCAUUGACAUUCAUACCAAAUCUUAACUUUAUAUUAAAAUGAAAAUAGGUAGUCAUAACUGUAUCAGCAUUUUUUUCAGAACAAAUACACAAAAAACAAAUUUAAAAUUUAUUUAAAAAACAAACAAACAAUAUUUACACAGUAAUAGCUGAUUGUCCUUCAUCUUAAAAUAACUGUCAUUGUUUUUUAGUUAAGAAUAACAACUUUCCAUCUUAACAAAAUGAAAUUCCUUAAUCUAUUUUUUAUUCUCAAAACUCAGAAAGGCAACUUUUUAUUAAUUUUUGACAAAUACACUUACUUAUAAUUUCAAUAGCACUAUAUAUAAAAUAGCUAGGUAAAAAGUAUUUUAAAGCUACUGUAAAAAGACACAAAUGAUAUAAAUUCUGUGUGGUUUGAAAAAUGUGAUUUCUGCUUGAGAAAUGAAACAUUUAUUUAAACUGUCUCAUUAGAUUAUCCACAGAUUUAUAUCAUAAGCGCAUAAAAUACAAAUAAUCAAUGUCCAUAUUAAAAUCAAUUAUAAUAAACUUCUGUUUUGUUUUGACAUGCAAGAAACAAAUGGUUUACAGCCAUUAAAAUAAAUUUCAUCUGACCACUUAAAUUUCAAAUUUAACAUGAAGUGAAAAGAGCUGAAUUUUGUAUCCAAAUUAAAAGUCAUCACAGACAGAAUAUGAAAAAAUAUCUGAAAAUAACUCUUUAAAAAAAAAAUAUUAGUUGUGCAUCUUACAACAUUCAUACAGUUCUCAUUUAUAUAUCAUAUAUAUGAUAGCCACUGAAGAUCAUUGUAAUAAUAGUUUUUCAAAUAAUUUUUUUAUUCUCCUAAUAUAAGUCAUAUUGAUUGCUAAUUGAAAUUUGCAUUUUGAAGAACAAAUGUUUCUUCUUCCCGACAAUCACCAUUUAUCUUAUUCUUCUGCCUUUAUUUCUAUUUAUUUACAUUAAUUCAGUAACCAAUAGUGAAAUGAUCACCAAAAGUAGCAAAAAGUCAAAAUAAGUUUUGGGUAAUGUGCCUGUUGUAAAAAAGUAACCCUUUUAAUUAUCCCAAUAUUUUAAAAAUGAUACUAUUAAGAAUUGUGAAAAAAUACAAUUAAAUAUUUCGUCAAGACAUUUUCCCGAAUAAAACAUGUAACAUUAACAGAAUUCUGUAUGUAGAAACAUCCAUAUCAUCCCUGAUUUUAGUUUUGUUACAAUAAAAGAACAAUGUAUUUGUCAAUUAAUUUAUACACAAAACAUGGAACCAACAUGGUCUUUUCAUAGCAUGUCUGUUUCAUCUCUAUCUGUUCACAGGUAACUGCCAUUGGCAUUACAGUUGUAUAAUGGUUACUGGUCUCCAUCCAUCCUCAGGUAACUUCAUCUUCAAUACAAACAUUACAAACCAGGUGGUAAAGUUUAUAAACCUAAAUGUUUUCAAUUCUUUGCUUUCUUAUUAUGUCUAUUUUUCCUAUCUAUAAAUUUUUUCAUGUCUUUAUCUUCAAUCAAAUCACUCAGUUCUAUCUGUUUGUCAUUCCCACAACCACCAACAGGACAUCUAAAAAUACAUGGUAAAAACUAAAUAUUGUAUAAUAACUAACAGGACAUUUAAAGUUCAUAGUAAACACUUAUUUCUGUUGUAACCAUUAGCCAUAGCACAUC